rnacentral:rRNA from 1 species
UACGGGGGGAGCAAGCGUUGUUCGGAAUUACUGGGCGUAAAGGGCGCGUAGGCGGCCUGUUAAGUCGAACGUGAAAUCCCCGGGCUCAACCCGGGAACUGCGUCCGAUACUGGCAGGCUUGAAUCCGGGAGAGGGAUGCGGAAUUCCAGGUGUAGCGGUGAAAUGCGUAGAUAUCUGGAGGAACACCGGUGGCGAAGGCGGCAUCCUGGACCGGCAUUGACGCUGAGGAGCGAAAGCUAGGGGAGCAAACGGG